CCACAGCGACCGUAAAAAUGUAUGAAAACAAGAAAAUAGGUUGUUGAUCUUAAUUUGGGGUAAGGCAUAAGGCUAGCAUUGAGGUUGGGGUUAAGGUUAGGGUUUAAGAAGAUACAUUGUAGAAAUAGGCGGGCUAUAGACAUAAUUAUAACGUUGUGGCUGUGAGAAUUAGUCAGUGACGACCCCCAGUGUGGACCACAUUUAUUGUUUGUUUUUAGCUUGGACGCUUGCUGGCUAAGUUUAGCUAGCUUUCCUGUCAAAACUUACCGAUAUUAUUUAAUCAGACAUAAAACUAUAUUAUUUCUUAUUUAUCUUUCUUUAUGCUACACAUUUGAUUGUUUUAUUUUUUUACCACAUCAAUGUCACCCGAUGAACUCCUGUGUGGUUUUCGAAAACUAGCUAGUGUUAAUUAUCUUAUUAACGUUAGCUAACGUACAUUUUUGGUGAUUCUGUUUUGUCGGUUUUAUUCUCUAGCUAACGUUACCUAGUUACCCGUUUUUACAAUGAUUUGUAGCUACUAAAUUACUCUACUACCAGUUAAAAGGUAACGUAAGUUCAAGCUUUGAAUUAGCUAACGUUAACCAUUAGGUCCACAUUUUAUCUGGCAUUGAUACAACCAUUCUGAUAAAAAUCCACGCAAGGAAGUCAACAUGCCGGUACAUUCUCAAGAAAAGAAAGAGAGUAACCGGCACGAGGAGAUGGAAGUCGAUUAUCCUGAACAAGAGGGGAGUUCAGACGAGGAUGACACUGAGCUCGUCCGUGUCAGAUGAUGGGGAUAGCUCGGGUUGUACAAGGAGAGGUUGAGUCAGGUGGAUGCGAAACUCCAGGAGUUGAUUGUAGGCAAGGCUUCGGAGUACCUGGACCCCUGGAAAAUCUGCAGGAGAACAUGCAGAUCAGAACAAAGGUUGGGAUCUACUGGGGACUCUGUGUAGAGUCUGUAAAAAAACAAGUACGACUGUGAAAUCCAAGCUGUUUUCCAGCACUGGGAGGUGAGCAUUGCUGCUGGGAAGUCCACAUUUCAUAGAUCUACCCAUGUCCCAGGGAUGCAAGCUAGUUACCUUUUGCCGAAAUUUGCCGUUUUGGACCCAAAAUAGGUGACCUAUGUGAUUUGUGUAGAUCCAAGGAGAAAAGUUUGGGAAGAGGGUGCUUUGGAUCACCACUGGCUGUAGUAAGCGAACGAGUGAUGCGUGUGUGGAGCAAUACUGGCUGUAUCCAAGGCUCAUCCAAUCGUUCACAUAACAACAGAAUGCAGCGCAGUACGCGACUGAAGGAAGAAGAGACAACCAAAUUGUUUACAGCAUCAGCGCGCACACUGGAAAGACAGUGGAGAGUGGAAAGGCAGCUUGCCAGUUACAGCAGCGCAUCCCCUGAACAAUAAUGUAGAGGUAACGUUAGGUGAGAAGCCUGACCACGGAGGUGAGAAGGUGAUGAAGCGUACUUCAUAAGCUGUAACUGAAAAACAACUGGCAUUUGGAACAUUUGAAGUGAGGAAGAAAGUGUGGUGGAACAAGUAUUGUUAGCAUUGUUAAGAAUCUUGCUAACUUAGCUGGAUCGAAUUCUCCAUUAGCCAGCCAGAGAAAUGUUGAACAACAUUAGCCAACUUAUCUGAUCAAAUUAUUGAGUUUUGAAAAUUCACUGGCUAAUAAAGUCAGACAGCUAACGUUAGUGACCUAACCAAUUCGCUAUAGUAUUAACUGGUAUAUGACUCCUUGCCGUUCCUCAAGUUAUAACGCGUUAGUUGCUUACUGGACCCUGGCAAUCUGUGUGAAAUGUUAACUAGCUAACGAACUAACCACUAUCUGUUAACUAAUGUUUCCCCUCUACAGUAUGUUUCAAUACAGUGGAUAAAAAGGGGUAUGCUGGGUGUACUCUCCGCGUGAAAUAGAUCAAUUAUGCCAACAAACGGUAUCAUGCUCUGCUGGCACAUUGUAGAACAGAUGUCCACAGGCAGAAAGUGUAAAUGUAAUAAUGUGCAGUGUAGCCCAAAGAUAUUGCUUUUGUUAUGUUGAAUUUGACAUUAACACUUGUGUGUGAGUGAGGGGGGAUUAUAAAAUGUUUUACUCAGUGAACGUUAUUUUUGCACACAUGUAGCCUUGUGCACUUGAUCGACGUCUACUAUAGUGCCAUUAUAAUAGAGAAAAAAUAUAAUGUCUGUUUGUGUCAUUCUAUUUUUACUUUAAGGUGUUUUUCCCCCAAUUGCAAUAUUUAGAUGUGUGUGGUCACAAGCAUUCUAUUAUAAAGGCUGUCAUGGCUAA